rfam:Aeromonas hydrophila subsp. hydrophila ATCC 7966, complete genome.
GAGCGCAUUGGAAGCUGUAAUCUAGGGGCGGCAGCGUG